GAUGAACGCUGGCGGCGUGCCUAAUACAUGCAAGUCGAGCGAACUUUUGGGAGCUUGCCUCCUAAAGUUUUCGGCGGGCGCGUGAGUAACACGCGUGUAACCUGUCUGUAAGACUCUGAUAUCUUUUCGAAACCCCAGCUCUUAUCCGGUAACAUUUUAUACAACAUAUGCUUCAAUUAAAAAAUGCCUUUUAGCUAUCACUUAUAGAUGGAUCCGCGCCGCAUUAGCUAGUUGGUAAGGUAACGGCUUACCAAGGCAACGAUGCGUAGCCGACCUGAGAGGGUGAUCGGCCACACUGGAACUGAGACACGGCCCAGACUCCUACGGGAGGCAGCAGUAGGGAAUCUUCCGCAAUGGGCGAAAGCCUGACGGAGCAACGCCGCGUGAGUGAAGAAGGUCUUCGGAUCGUAAAGCUCUGUUAUUAGGGAAGAACAAAUGUCGUAGGAACAGGGCAGAACUUUAAGGGAACCAAACAAGAAGGCCACGGCUACCACGGG
rnacentral:rRNA from 1 species